GCCAGAGUCUUCAAGGUAUGAAGGCAGAGGACUGCAGGCAUACUUCUCACUUUCACAGGUGUUCUGCAGAGAGAGGAUAAUAAGACUGGCUUUCAUUCAUUCUUUGGUUUACCUAAUAUUCAUUACCUGGAAUGCUUCCUCAUACAUGCUGAGAGCCUGGGAAAUGGAAGCAGUAGGAGGAAGAAGGUACCAGAAAUGAAUAGCAAUUGAGCGUUUCCAAUCCAGUUGGGAACAGACAUUGAUAUUCUUCUGUUCUGAGAGUCGCCAUACCUGCAAAGGUCAUCAAAAAUGAAUGGUGGAAGCUUGUAGAUGCCCAUAUAUUAUUCAUGUGUAAUGAAUGUAUUUCUAUAUACUGAGAAUUUAAACAUGGAAGACUCAAGGACAUUUAGUUAGGAGAAAUACUGUAUGUACAUCAUGCAUAAUGGCUGCUUAUUUCUUGAGCCACUUACUGUCUAGUUUAUGUUUUUGUAGGAAAUCUUGAUAUUGAUUGGUUCAUAGAUGAAUCCUUGGUUUUAUAAAACAAACUAAAUAAUAGUUUGUUAUUAUUAUUAUAAUAGAAAAAAUUUUUCACACACACACAAAAAAACCCAAGUGUAGCAUUUCUUAAACAUGUACUAAUACUAGUUUUGUAUAAGGAAGGAGGGCAUCUGGUGGAUUUUGCAUUUCCUAAAAGUGUAUGGUCAUUAUCUGUCAGCGAAUACAAUGGUUUUUGCUGUCCCCCUCGCCACCCCCCCAAAAGGUGUAAUCAGUCAUCUGCUCCAAUUUUGUUUCAGAUAUUUUGCUAAGUACAGGAGAUACAAAAGCAAAACAGCCCUUGCUUUCAAGGAGCUUGUAUCAAUCAGAGAAGAUAACAUGGUAGGUGGAUUAUGAUCUCUGAAGGGUCACUAAUCUGUUUCAGAAGAUUAUUCAAUUUGUUUUUGGACUGUUCAACAAA